CGUAGGGUGCGAGCGUUAAUCGGAAUUACUGGGCGUAAAGCGUGCGCAGGCGGUUUAGUAAGACAGGCGUGAAAUCCCCGGGCUCAACCUGGGAACUGCGCUUGUGACUGCUAAGCUAGAGUACGGCAGAGGGGGUGGAAUUCCACGUGUAGCAGUGAAAUGCGUAGAGAUGUGGAGGAACACCAAUGGCGAAGGCAGCCCCCUGGGUCGAUACUGACGCUCAUGCACGAAAGCGUGGGUAGCAAACAGGAUUAGAUACCCUGGUAGUCCACGCCCUAAACGAUGUCAACUAGGUGUUGGGAGGGUAAAACCUUUUAGUACCGGAGCUAACGCGUGAAGUUGACCGCCUGGGGAGUACGGCCGCAAGGUU
rnacentral:rRNA from 1 species